UACGUAGGGUGCUAGCGUUGUCCGGAUUUAUUGGGCGUAAAGGGCUCGUAGGCGGCGUGUCGCGUCGGGGAGUGAAAAGCCCGCUGCUUAACGGCGGGUUGGCUUCCGGUACGGGCAUCGCUGGAGUGCGGCAGGGGAGACUGGAAUUCCUGGUGUAGCGGUGGAAUGCGCAGAUAUCAGGAGGAACACCGGUGGCGAAGGCGGGUCUCUGGGCCGUUACUGACGCUGAGGAGCGAAAGCGUGGGGAGCGAACAGG
rnacentral:rRNA from 1 species